CAGCAGCAGCCACGGUAAUACGAAGGGUGCAAGCGUUAAUCGGAAUUACUGGGCGUAAAGGGUGCGUAGGCGGUGAGUUAAGUCUGUUGUGAAAUCCCCGGGCUCAACCUGGGAAUGGCAAUGGAUACUGGCUCGCUAGAGUGUGAUAGAGGAUGGUGGAAUUCCCGGUGUAGCGGUGAAAUGCGUAGAGAUCGGGAGGAACAUCAGUGGCGAAGGCGGCCAUCUGGAUCAACACUGACGCUGAAGCACGAAAGCGUGGGGAGCAAACAGGAUUAGAUACCCCGGUAGUCCCUGUCUCUUAUAC
rnacentral:rRNA from 1 species